CAAGGUCACACACUGAGAAAAUACUUCACUGU
rnacentral:piRNA from 1 species